rnacentral:piRNA from 1 species
ACAAGCUUUUAUAGAACUCUGUUC